rnacentral:misc_RNA from 1 species
UUUGUGUUGCCCCCAUACAUGUAUUCGGGGCGAAGCUUGGCCUCCCGUGAGCCCAAACUCGCGGAUGGCUUAAAAACGAGCCUCGAGACGGUUAGACGUCGCGACAAGUGGUGGUUACGAGGCCUUGUGCCUUUGAGCUUUGCGUGUCGCUGCCGUCGUCUGUCUCUCUCGAAAUUAAAACCCGAACGGAGCAUCCUCGAUGUUUCCAGCAUUGCGACCCCAGGUCAGGCGGGAAUACCCGCUGAGUUUAAGCAUAUCAAUAA